UGAGUCUUUUGUGGUUGCAAUUGUUGCCUAUCUUUUUCUCCAUCUUCAUCCAUGCCAAUUAUAAGGGCUGGCAUAUGGAGCUCUUUUGACUUGGCAUUCAAUAAAUGACAGGGACUCCUCAGCUAUCUUUGCUUCUUCUUCUUCUUCUUCUUUUUUGUUAGAGCGUAAGAUAAAUAAUUUGUAUGAUCAUAUAUACGCACCAAAUCUUCCUCCCAAGUUGCAAGAAAAAGAAUGUUUUGAUCCUUGUAAUCUUUCAACUUUCCCUCUCACCAAUAUGGUUUGUGGUUUUUAUUAUGGAUUAAGAAGCUUCGUACUGCGAAGAAAGCCUGAGUUUUUGAUCGAUGGUAUUCAAGAAACAUUCCCAUGUUUGAUAUGGACCUUUAUUUAAUACAUAGAUAGAGAGAUAUCACAUGGUUGGCUCAUUAAAAGAUUAGGUUUGUGAACAGAUCCACCUAUUCUCCAAGACAUUUUUAUGUGGCAAGCUAGGUGCAACUAUUCAAUUUCUUAGUUUCUCAUACAUGUCGUGGUAACAAUAGAGCUGCUGAUUAUGCUGCUAAGUUGGCGGCUCAGAGAGAUUUUUAUUGCAACAGUGGAGAUUUCUUUCAUCAGGUGUUUUAUUCUAUGUUGCAGGCUGAAAUGCUGAGAGGCUCCCAAUCUGGCAGAUAGGAUAUGGAGGCUGGGUUUUGCCUGCAGUUUUGUUUUCUACCAUUGGCCGUUUUUGUAAAGUAGUUAAUGCUAGGGUUUUUAUCUUUUGUUCUGGCUCAGGAUGUAACAGGG
rnacentral:lncRNA from 1 species